UUACAGCUUUUUGUGCUUCACGUAAUUUUUCCAACAUCAUUGUUGCAACAUCGUUGAGGGUAUGUUUUUUUAUGUAAUUUUGAAUAUUAAAUUUUGAACUGAUCUAUUCUAAUUCUCGCUUUAUGUUUCAGCCUAAUCAGAGUUGUAUAAAAUUCAAACAAUCAGUUGCGGGUUAUUUUAGUGGGAAAUUCUUCUGCACUGUUCUUGAAGUCUGAAGUGCAGAAAGUAGAGUGCUUCAUGAAGCCCCAAUGCUGUUCUAGGUUUUCUUGUAUUUAUUGUCACUGAUGAUGUCGAUUUUAUAUAUUAGUUCUUCAAUCAGCCUAAUUAUCAGCCUUUUAUAGUGUUUAAAAUGCAUCUUUAUGAUAAAUGAAGAAGUUAAUGGUAAUUAUGAUAGCCUGUUUUUUAAAUUUAUUUUUCUUCUUUUGAUUUCUUGAUAUUUAAAUUUUUAGUUUUCCCAUGAAAACUUAUUUUUGAAAGGCUUU
rnacentral:lncRNA from 1 species